CCCAUUGCCCCCAGCUCCCCUCCCCCCACCAGCGGCCCUUCCCCACCCAGAACCUUGCGAUCUCCACAGUAACGGCCGCUCCCCAGCCUCCACCCCAGGCCCAGGCGCCUCUGCUUUGUGCAGCUCUAUGGCAACAGCAGGCAGCACAGAACGGGCAUUCCCUGGCCGCGCGCCGCCGGGCGGCGGUCGCUCCCCAGACAGCGGGGCCGGGCAGCUGGGCCCCCGGACAACAUGCCGGAAAGGCGGCUCUCGGCGGAGCCGCCAGAAGUUACAGAAGAAGAAUUUGAAAAUUACUUGGCAACAGACAACUUCCUUGUGGACUACUUUAAUGAGUUCUUAAGUCUUCCUACCUUUUCAGAGGCAAUUAGAUUUAAUGUGGACUACGGAGUUUUUGAAGUAAUUAAUGAUGCACCACAACUUCUGGAAAAGCAACUGAAAAAAAUUCUGCAAAACCAGCAACCGCGGAAUCCCAUCUAUGAUGUUGUAAGAAAAGGGAAGAGUGACAGCAAAGCUAAGCAAAAGAGUGUCCCCUGUGAAGACGAGGCCAUCAAUGUCAACUACACCAUCAUGUGUCUCAAGCGUGAACAAGGUAUUAAUUGGAUCAAAAGGAAAAGACUUCCGGCAUUUCUGGAAAGUGAUUGCUACUUUGAAUACAGGCUAGCCAAGUUGAUCUCGCAAGCGACAUGGAGCAGCUCAGGCAUGAAUUUCACAGUAGGUACAAAUUUUUCUCCGUGGAUCCUGAGAAAACCGCCCACUCCACCUCAUGCCAGCACUGAAGAGGACAAUUCCGGGAUUAUGAAGACGUUCUACGUUUCUCUGGGCCAGGCCUCCUAUACUCAAACAAAAGACUGGUUUACACUCGCCAAGGAGAGUGAGAAGACAGUGACGACAUUUUCAUUACCCUGCUGUUUACCCCAUCACGAAAGUGCAUCCUCAGUUGUUGCCACGGUUUCUGAGAUUUUUGAUGAUGGAAUUCACCCCAGGACAACAAACGGCCUGUCUAAAACCUCUAAAAUAGUUUCCGAGCCGGAGGAAGAAGAAGGUUCUAUAUCAAUGAAAGAUACACCUUCUCAAGCUCUACUGAGAAUAUACCUGGAGAGGAAGGGCGAGGACAGAAACCUGACCGUGCACUUCUCAUCGUUUGACGAAUUCCUAAAUGCCUACAUCAUCUUUAUCUUGAGAGAAGCCAUCCAUCAUAUCACAGGCCAGUCCCUUAGUGACACUCCAGGCUAUGUCAACUACUAUAAAGUAGCCCAUGUGAUAUUUGAUAAAGCCAAGCCUGUGCCUAGCCAGAAGGCUACAGUUUCACCCCCUGUUGAAGUUGUACAAGAAACCUCAGAAGAUAGAUUGGAGGAAAAUGUAAGUUUAAGUUCAGAGAGUGAGAGUGUUGGGCCUGAGAGCAGGGCAGACUGGUGUAUUUCUCACAAAACCUAUGACAUUGGCAACAGAAGGGAAUUUGAAAGAUUUAAGAAGUUUCUAAAAGGCACAUUAGGAGAGAGGUACUGGUGGCUGUGGAUGGACAUAGAGAGGCUGAAAGUUCUUAAGGACCCUGGAAGACAUCAAAGACAUCUUGAGAAAAUGAAAAAAUGCUACCUUGUGAGCAGUGGGGAGCGCUACCUUUCUGCAGAAAUUUUAUCAAAGUUUAAGCUGAUGAAUGGAUCCUGGUGGACAGAAGACCAUUUGAAAAACAUCCAGAUUGAGGUUUUAAAACCUCUGCUUCUGUAUUGGGCACCAAGAUUUUGUGUAACUCAUUCAGUUUCUGCAAAAAAUGCUAGUGCUGAGCUGAAGUUCUGGCGCUUCCGUCAGGAGAAGCCAAGGAAGGAUGUUGACCCUUUCCCACAGAUGGCCACUCUCCUGCCAUUAAGACCGAAGUCCUGCAUUCCACAGACCCCCGAGGUCCAGGGAGAAGAAAUCGGUUUAUUUCAACCAUCUAAAUCUAAGAAAUUAUCAAAAAUGAAUGCAGGGACUCAAAAAUUUGGGAGAAAUGAGUCUGUGCGCCCAGUUUCUUCUAAGGACGACAGGGUUGAGAAAGGGUCAAAGAGGCUACCAGAGAGCACCACGGUGGUCCGCUUGACAUCUUUUACGGACAUCUCCGAGUGUCUGAAGCCCCAACUGGAGAGGAAAUACACUUACACAGAGAAGAUGAAUGUUAAAACUGUAUCAAAUGUUGGAGCCUUGGGAGGAUUUGACAUGGAAAACUUGUUGCAAUCUUUAUACGUAGAAAACAGAGCUGGAUUCUUCUUUACCAAAUUUUGCGAGAAUUCAGGGAACAAGCUGUGGAAGCACAGUGUGUACUUUUGGUUUGACCUACAGGCUUAUCACCAGCUGUUCUACCAAGAAACGCUCGAACCUUUCAAAGUGUGCAAGCAAGCCCAAAUCUUUGGAACGAUAAUGCCACCAAGGGAAUCUAUUCAUCUGGCACUGCAUGUUGACCGCACCAUGGAAUUGAUUUUGCAUCGUUUUUUAUGUGUCUGCCUUAGUCAAGAGACUAGGAGUUGAUGCCAAAGGACCUACAUGACUUCCUGGAUACAGUUUCAUUCUCCCAAGCAGCAGUACAGGCUAGUAAAGUAGACAGAAGAGAGUCCACAGUCAGGACUCACAAGCCCCAGAGUCUGAACUGGUGUCUCGGACAUACCUUGAAGACUUUUCUGCAGGACUUCAAGAGAGCAUAGUGAACAGUUAGAAACCAAUGGUAGUCUUGGCAUUGUAUAGGUACAGUCCCUGCCUCUGGGGCCACCCAGCACUGAUAGGCUUGGAGACCAACUUCUGUACCUUUCUUCAUAUCAGAUGCUUGUUUUAGUGAGAGAACUAAAAACGAACAGCCUCUUAAAUCUUUCUAAGAAACUUUAUGUGGUAAUAAAAGCUGCAAACUAGCAAACACGUAUGUUAAAUUCGCAUUAGACAUGCUUACAAACACACAUGCAUGUUUACUGGUCGAGAAGUGGUGAGGCCCAGGAGAAGGGAGCUGAUAGAAUAGGCAGACUAAAGUCUCACACUUUAUUCAGAUCAUCAGACAGUUUAUACUCUGAGGGUUAAGGGUUCAAUCUCUAGCACUAUAAUAAAUAAAAGUCAAAUUUGCAAAAAGGGAAAAGGCAGUGAAAAUAAACCACAGAUUUCAUUUGCCUGAAAAUGUGUUUUAUUCUGAUGACUUAGCUCAAUAUAGACUCGAUGGUUGUGUUUUCUGUAGUUAGCACACACUAAGUAAUAACAGACUCAGUUGUGACAUCUCCAUAGGUGUAUAUAAUGUGCUUUGACCAUGUGAUUCACCUGAGUAAAGUGUGUAAUCACAAGGACAAGACACAUGGGGCAAAACCAAGUGUUUCCUUAGAGGUAUAUGAGACAAGUAACUGCAGUUAUAAUGAAUAAUCUGAAGUGACCUCACUUUUAUCUGCUACACUGGGAGGGACACAAAAGCAUAAUCCAAGAACGAGUCCAUGUUUUUGAAGAAAUUGAGAUCACAAGACUAUUGUCUUGGUUUCUUGGAAUUCUCUUCACAAGCACCCAGGAGUCUCCUCACACGGCUUCAUUCAUGAACCAUGUCCCAACAUCUCCCUUGGCUUUAUUUUUUUACUAGCAGGAGAUCCGGAGUGGUUUUAGUUUGAGAUGUUGUAGAUAAAUCUAAUUGUUACUUGUGUGAUUAUCAGAUAAGCAAGCAAAUUAUAAAUAUAACAAAUAACAUUAGCACAGUGAAAGCAUUGCGUGUGCACACUAACACUACGAACCAGAUUCAAACUAUGUCCGAACUGUCGGUUACAUAAUUAUACUGAUCAGAAAGAUCUAGACAAUAGCUUGAAAAGAGACCCAUAGGAUUGGUACUUUUGGUAUCUUGCACAACACAAACCCAUAUUUGCCUUGUAAUAGGAAUACAAAUGUUACGACAUCCUAUGAAGUAGGAAGGAUUCAAAUCAGAUGAACAAAUGAGUCUAUUACGGUCCCAAGGUCCAGGAACAAAUCCAGAGUCAUUAGUAAAGAUAGCAGGAGCUAGAUCCAUUCAGCUACAGUUGAGGCAAAAGAGGUAGGGAACAUAAGAACAUAACACAUGCUCAGAGACACUCACUGCAGAAGCCCAGGCCAGAGUGACUGGGACUGCCAGAAAAAAGACUCUCAGGUGACACAGGGCUCCAAGUAUGUUGUUAGAAUAACUUCCCCCUUGGUGCAUAGGACCUUAAAUUUGCUCCAGGUGGGCAGACUUGACUUCCGAUAUCUUCUUGUGUCCCUUAGCUGGAGGAAUACUUUCUUUCUGGUGACUUUCACUGUCUCCUGCCCUUAGUCACUGUCCUUGAUGACCCCAGGGCUGGAGGAGGUGCAGAGGAGCCCGCAAUAUUUCAGCAUGUCCAUCCACAAUGACAGAUGCAUACCCUUCCCAACUUCUUGGAGUUUUCUCACAAGCUCAGAAUUCUUCUUAAACAGCGUCAUUCUUGGCCUGUGUUCUGACAUAUGCACACCAGCAUACAUACAAUUGAGGAAAAUAGGAAGCAGAGCUGGGAAUCUGGCUCAUUAGCCAGUGUUUGCCUAGCAUGUGUGAGGCCCUGGGUUCAAUUUCUAGCACUAUAAUAAAUAAAAGUCAAAUUUGCAAAAAAGGAAAAGGCAGUGAAAAUAAACCACAGAUUUCAUUUGCCUGAAAAUGUGUUUUAUUCUGAUGACUUAGCUCAAUAUAGACUUGAUGGUUGUGUUUUCUGUAGUUAGCACACACUAAGUAAUAACAGACUCAGUUGUGACAUCUCCAUAGGUGUAUAUAAUGUGCUUUGACCAUGUCUGCCCCUAUUUCCCGCCUUGUUCCCAUUCAUUGCCAUGGAUUCCUCCUCCUUCCCAACUGUGGACUCCUCCCAGCACUAUAAGAUAUAGGUGUUCCAUUGCCGACACUGUCCUUGCUUAUAGCUGUUCCAUUGCCGACACUGUCUUACUGCUCUGACAGCCUUGCCCUGGCAUUGGAGUCCUGUGUUUUAGCACAGUGUGCUUAUACCCAUGAUCUUCCCGGGCUUUGGUUGCUUCUUUAAUCUCAGGAGUCAUGCUUUGGACUUGACUGAUGCUUCUCUAAUGCGUUUGGUCAUGUCCUGGGUUUCCUGUCUGAAUCAUGCUGUGCUUUGCAGUAUAUCAUGUUUUCAUUUUGCUGUUCAGCCCACCCAAUGAGUUAAAUUAUGUCUUUUAUUCAUAAACCUUUUUUUUUUUUGAGACAAGGUCUCACUGUGUAGUCUUGGCUGGCCUGGAACUUACUGUGUAGAUCAGGCUAGCCCAGAUCUCUGAGAGAUCUUCCCACCUCUGCCUGGGACUAAAGGCAUGUUUUAGAAUUCUUGCUGGCAUUUUUUUCAUUCCAUACAUUUUAAAAUUUAUGUUUUAAAUAAUUUAAAGCAUGUAUUAUUAGUCUUUAGCUGUAUUAGUUACUCCUGCAUGAGAGUAUUAUCACAGACUCCCUGGCUCAGAACAACACACACUUGUACAGUUUCUGUGUGUGUAGGAUUCUGGGUAUAGCAGUAUUGGGUCCUCUUAAUCAAAGCUGCAGCCUGUGGGAGGGUCUGCUCUAAUAUUCAUGUACUUGUUAGUAACGUCCAGUUCCUGGCAAACUACUGCUCCGAGAACCUCAAAUUUUGCUGGCUGCGAGCCAGCGGCUAUGUCAGUGCUGCAUGUGUGCUCUCAAGUAGAUUACAUACAAUUCACAGCUUGCUUGUCAGUCAGCCAGGGGGAGAGUUUCUUAGCAAGGUGGCUAUCACCUAUUUACAUAGCUUAAUGUGUACACACAUACAUACCCUGCUGCUCUGUACUAAUAGAAAAAUGCCACACAUUAUGUUCAGACAUGGGAGAGAAAUUAGGCACAAAAGCCAGGCAUGGUGUGUGCACCUUUAAUAUACCAGCACAGCAGGCAGAGGUAGGUGGAUCUCUGUGACUGAAGCCAGAAUUGUCCACAUGGGGAGGUAUGGGACAGCUAGGGCUUCACAGUGGGACCCUAUCUCAAAACAUGAGAGGGGGGAGAGAGGAAAGAGAGGAGUGAGAGUAGGGUAGAGGAGGGGAAGAGAGAGAAGGGGAGAAAGCAUGACUAUCAGAAGCCACUGCGUUUAUGGGGCCACCCUACAGUCUGGCUGCCACAGUGUUCAAUAAUUCUGUGAUUUGUAGUUCUUGGAAGAACUAACUUUUAGUUCUGCUGACAGUGGAUUCUUUCCAUGUGUGUUUAGUAAUUUUGAAUUAUGAGCCCUUUAGUGAUUUUUUUAUGCCAUUCUUCUGCUGGGCACAUUCUAAAUGCUAAUUUCUUUUUCUUUCUUUCUUUAUUUCAUGUAUGUGAGUACUCAGACACACCAGAAGAGAGCAUUGGAUCCCAUUACAGAUGGUUGUGAGCCACCAUAUGGUUGCUGGGAACUGAACUCAGGACCUCUGGAAGAGCAGUCAGUGCUCUUAACCGCUGAGCCAUCUCUCCAGCCCCCUAAAUGCUAAUUUCUUAUCUUGGAGUGAUGUGGAAAUAGACAAAGUAUGAAUUGGAAAACCAGACUCACAUAAGGGGAAAUUCUCAGUAAAGUAUCUUUUCGCCACAUACAUCGCUCCAUCAGCCAGUCUCGAUGUUGGACUCCAUCCGGAA